GUACACUCCUACGGGAGGCAGCAGUGGGGAAUUUUGGACAAUGGGCGAAAGCCUGAUCCAGCAAUGCCGCGUGUGUGAAGAAGGCCUUCGGGUUGUAAAGCACUUUUGUCCGGAAAGAAAUCCUUGGCUCUAAUACAGUCGGGGGAUGACGGUACCGGAAGAAUAAGCACCGGCUAACUACGUGCCAGCAGCCGCGGUAAUACGUAGGGUGCGAGCGUUAAUCGGAAUUACUGGGCGUAAAGCGUGCGCAGGCGGUUUGCUAAGACCGAUGUGAAAUCCCCGGGCUCAACCUGGGAACUGCAUUGGUGACUGGCAGGCUAGAGUAUGGCAGAGGGGGGUAGAAUUCCACGUGUAGCAGUGAAAUGCGUAGAGAUGUGGAGGAAUACCGAUGGCGAAGGCAGCCCCCUGGGCCAAUACUGACGCUCAUGCACGAAAGCGUGGGGAGCAAACAGGAUUAGAAACCCGUGUAGUCCCAUGAU
rnacentral:rRNA from 1 species